rnacentral:tRNA from 2 species
GUAUCUAUCGCUUAGAGGUCAAUAGCGAUGAGCUCAUGACUCAUUAAAUAAAAAUAUCAGUAGUUCGAAUCUACUUAGAUACA